rnacentral:misc_RNA from 1 species
GUGUUGAAUGUGGCCCUUCUGAUGCCAGUAGUAGCAUUUUUUCUCUGCACAGUCUACUUGUGGUCUUGAUUCUGAUUUACUAUUUUUUCUAUAAUAGUUUUCACGUAAAUUGUUUCUAUCACGGCUAGAACUAGUAACAAAAGCUCUACCUUCAUUGCUACUACUGGGCAUUUUGAACUUCUCAUUAUUCAAAAUUACUGCAGUAACUUCUUUCACCUUUAGCGUAUCCUUCUAGAUUGUUAGGGUUGUCACUAGGCUUUUGUAAGAUUGUGGGAGAGAGGUUAGA